AGGAGGAGGAGGAGGAGGAGGAGGAGGAGGAGGAGGAGGAGGAGGAGGAGACAGAAAGAGAGAGAAACAUAAUCUUCUGUUAGCACUUCCCCUUUUUCUGAAAGAUGUUGAGAGUGGUCUUUUCCAGAGACAUUACCAUGGUUGUUUUCUUACUCUAGGAGCUUUGUCCCUUUUGGUGUUGUACCUACUGUAUUUGUGCCAGCUGUUGUCCACUUGUCUCUACGUGUGUA